rnacentral:rRNA from 1 species
AUGAGUAACAUCGACUGCGCCAUGAUGUCCUGGAAUGUUAGGGGGCUGAACUCAGCAGCCAAAAGGGAAGUAGUUAGGGAGGCGGCAACGGCGCAUAAGCUAGCAGUUCUGUGUCUCCAGGAGACAAAGAUCAAAACCUGGACACAAGCUAUGGUGAAUGACAUUGGAGGAGGGUGGAUGAAGGACUGCGUGGUACUGCCUGCGUUAGGAUCUAGAGGAGGCAUAGCGAUUUUUUGGAAUAGAGAGCUGGUCACUGUGGCUUCUCAAGCCAUAGGUCAAUUCUCUAUCACGGCCACGGUUAGUUUAGUUGGAUCACCAUCUAGUUUCACCCUCACCUCG